GAGUUUCUUUGUCUCCUUCCCCAGGUGGUGUGAGGGAUUAAUCGAGAUAAUAUGCUCUGCUGAGGACAAGGAUGAUGGUUUCCUCCCUUGAGUUUGGCAUUCACUGUGCAUUCUUCAAUGGCACCAGUAUCAAAGGAAAAAGGACUCAGCCCAUGAGAGUCAGUUUGCAGGAAUUUGGAACAGAAAGCAAAUAGUGUAAGGUCCAUCCUCAUGUCCUAAUAUGCCAGCCCAAACCUAGGCUUCAUUCCUGCAGGCCACAGGCUGCCAGAGGCCUCUCUUUUCCCUGUAGUCCCGGGAAACCCCAGGUCUAUGUGCCGAUAGACCCUAGUGUGCCAACAGACAUUAUUCUCAGCAAAUCUCCACCCUUAAAUAUCUGGUCAUACUGAAUUGAGAUCCGAGUAGAGAAUUAAACAACUAAUCCAAGCCUCUUGGUACUGGUAGAACUGGCAAAAAGGGAAAGAAAAAAAAAAAGAAGAAAAGUCUCGAUUUGUAUGCCAAAUACUCUGAAAAGAGCGAUUGAUGGUUUCACACAGCUCCAGCUGAGAGGCUAUAUACUUCAGGGUGACGUCACAACCAUUCACAUGGCAACAAAUUGAGAUGUCUCGGAAUGCUUUCUCUCAACAAAUCAAAGACAGCACAGCAGGACAGGCUCCUGACUGCAGGUGAGAAAUAUACCACGCAUUUUCAUGUUGGUAAAAGGAGGCGAUCUGGGAUGGAAUGGGGACUGCAAGAAAAGAAGAGAGACUGGUCAGAGAAGAGUUCAGUAUCAGAGUGAAAAAUGAAUAGGGUGUGAGAAGGUUUGUCUUUUCUGCAGCUAGAGACAGAAAAAACAGAAACCUUAGUGAAAGCUCCACUAGCUCUCAUGCACAUCCCUGCAAUCCCAUUGAAGUCAGCAAAGGUACAAAUAAGGACAGAACUCCAUCUUGAAAUUCUUUUUGAUUAUAUAUAAUACACAUAGGCCCAAAGACCAGAAGCACUCAUUUAGCACCUGUUGCAGCUCAGGGUUAUAGAUUGCACAAAGAUGGCAAAGAACCAGACUUGCAAAGUUCUUUGGUACCUAGAUAUACUGACAGGUGCCUAGUGAGAUUAUAAUUGGUUUUAGGUGGCUACUGUGUCCAGGCACUUUGAAAAUGCGAGUAAGUGCCUAGCUUAAUAUCUAGACACCCAUCCUUAAGACC